rnacentral:rRNA from 1 species
GACAGAGGGUGCAAACGUUGUUCGGAAUUACUGGGCGUAAAGCGCGUGUAGGCGGCAAUACAAGUCGGAUGUGAAAUCCCGCGGCUUAACCGUGGAAGUGCACCCGAAACUGUAUCGCUAGAGUCCCGGAGAGGAUGGUGGAAUACUUGGUGUAGAGGUGAAAUUCGUAGAUACCAAGUGGAACACCGGUGGCGAAGGCGGCCAUCUGGACGGUGACUGACGCUGAGACGCGAAAGCGUGGGUAGCAAACAGG